CUGAGCAGGCCCAGCGCCCUCCAGAUGACUUCCCCGCAGCACACACAGCCCCUCCUCCCCUGGAGGAAGCUGGCCUGGCUAAAGGAACUCGCCGGAGGCGAAUGAUUAAAAACCCUGAAGCCCCCGUGAUACUCCCCCUCUGUCCUUACGGGCCAAUGAUAGAUGAUGGCCAUGGAGGAGAAAUGCAAGCCUACCAGUAUUGGCCUUUCUCCUCUUCAGACCUAUAUAACUGGAAAAAUAACAAUCCCCCUUUUUCCGAGGACCCCACCCGGCUCACAGGUCUGAUUGAGUCAUUGAUGUUUUCACACCAGCCUACUUGGGAUGACUGCCAACAACUCCUAGGCACUCUCUUCAUGACAGAGGAACAAAAGAGAAUCCUCCUGGAAGCUAGAAAAAAUAUCCUCGGACCAGAUGGGUGACCAACACAACUUCCCAACAUAAUUGAAGCCGACUUCCCCUUGAACCGACCCAACUGGGACCCCAACACCUUUGAAGGUAGGGAGCAUCUGUCCACUUAUCGCUGGGCUCUAAUAGUGGGUUUCCAAGCGGCCGCUAGGCAACCAACUAAUUUGGCCAAGGUAAGAGAGAUUAUUCAAGGGCCUGAUGAAUCUCCCUCUAUGUUUCUAGAGAGAAUUAUGGAGGCAUAUAGGAGAUAUACUCCUUUCGAUCCUUAGGCAGAGGAUCAAAAGGCAUCUGUCAC
rnacentral:lncRNA from 1 species